rnacentral:misc_RNA from 1 species
AUAAAUCCGGGUUAAGGAUUGAAGUGGAAAGCCCACAGCUCCUUUUUUGGUGCGCGGACUUGUAACGAAAAGCCUGACCACGC